CCUCACACUGUUCAUGCAGGUCUAAGAAGAAAACAACUGCUGCAGGACACCACUGCCAACAAGACGCCCAUCGGGAGAGGGCAUUGUUAUCUAGCAGGCCUGCUGGGACGCAGCUGACACCAGGCAGAUGACAAGCCUCGGAGAGGAAACCGCUGGGUAACGCAGCGAUGCGAGCGAAUGAAGAACAGAAACAAAAAAAAACCAAACUGCCAAACGAGGACGAGCAGGACGACACGGAGGAUGGCUGAGGAGGAGACGACAGGACACGACACGCGGGCCCCUGACGGACAUGUGCAACCGUUCUAAACCCGCCCCCUCAGGGGCCCUGGGGUUACCUCCCCCCUCCCCCCACCCCCCUGCAGACGGCCUUCGCCGGCGUUAGUGGAUUAGUGGAGCAGGCGGAGAAGAGGAGAGACGGAGAGAGGAGACGGCCUUACCCGGCUGGGCGGGAGGAGCGGUGGACCCUGGAGCAGAAGAGGAGGAGUAGGAGGAGGAGUCUAGAGAGGGCUCAGCGCAGGCAGGGGGAGCUGUGAAGG